GAUGAACGCUGGCGGCGUGCCUAAUACAUGCAAGUCGAGCGAACAGACGAGGAGCUUGCUCCUCUGACGUUAGCGGCGGACGGGUGAGUAACACGUGGAUAACCUACCUAUAAGACUGGGAUAACUUCGGGAAACCGGAGCUAAUACCGGAUAACAUGUUGAACCGCAUGGUUCAACAGUGAAAGACGGUCUUGCUGUCACUUAUAGAUGGAUCCUCGCCGCAUUAGCUAGUUGGUAAGGUAACGGCUUACCAAGGCAACGAUGCGUAGCCGACCUGAGAGGGUGAUCGACCACACUGAGACUGAGACACGGUCCAGACUCCUACGGGAGGCAGCAGUAGGGAAUCUUCCGCAAUGGGCGAAAGCCUGACGGAGCAACGCCGCGUGAGUGAAGAAGGUCUUCGGAUCGUAAAACUCUGUUAUUAGGGAAGAACAAAUGUGUAAGUAACUAUGCACGUCUUGACGGUACCUAAUCAGAAAGCCACGGCUAACUACGUG
rnacentral:rRNA from 1 species